rnacentral:rRNA from 1 species
AUGUGGGUAAGCAUCUCACGCAAACUUGAUGUCCGCCGUCAUACACGGGAGAUCAUCGAACCUGCUUCUCAAGGGGAAUGCCCACGCAUUGACAACCUUGAUACUCUGCAGCGCAAGUUGACAGAUAUACUGCAACAAUCAGGGAAAUUCCUGCUUGUGUUGGACGAUGUUUGGUUUGAACCCGGGAGUGAAAGAGAAUGGGACCAACUCUUAGCUCCUAUGGUUUCACAACAGAUGGGAAGCAAAGUAUUGGUAACUUCUCGAUGGGAUACAUUUCCAGGUGCUCUUUGCUGUGAAGAAGUGUGUCCUCUGGAAAAGAUGGGAGAUACUCAAUUCUUGAUACUGUUCAAGCACCAUGCAUUCUCUGGACCAGAAAUCAGAAAUCCGCAGGUGCGUGAAAGGCUGGAAGAUUUUGCAGAGGAGUUUGUUAAAAGGCUUGGCCAGUCUCCUUUGGCGGCAAAAGUAGUGGGUUCCCAGUUGAAAGGGAAAACAAAUACCAGUGCAUGGAAGGAUGCUCUAACUAUAAAGAUUGACAAACUAAGUGAGCCUAUGAGUGCUCUUUUGUGGAGUUAUGAGAAGUUAGAUCCAUGUAUGAAGAGGUGCUUCCUAUAUUGCAGCCUGUUUCCAAAAGGCCACAAGUAUGCCAUUGAUGAGUUGGUUCAUCUUUGGAUGGCAGAGGGCCUUUUAGAUUCGUACAACCAAAACAAGAGAGUUGAAGAUGUUGGGAGGGAUUGCUUCAAGGAGAUGAUCUCUGUUUCGUUCUUUCAACCAUUUCAUGGAAGAUACUAUGUUAUGCACGAUCUCAUUCGUGACCUAGCAGAAUUGCUAUCCAAAGAGGAAUACUUCAGAUUGGAAUGUGAUAAGGUGACACAAAUACCAUCUACCGUUCGACAUCUAUCUGUGCGUGUUGAUAGUAUGAAGCAACACAAGCAAAAUAUCUGCAAGCUGCUUAAUUUACGCACUAUUAUCAGCAUAGAUCCCCUAAUAGAUGAUGUAAGUGACCUUUUUAAUUGGAUAGUACGGAAUUUCAAGAGGCUGCAUGUACUAUGUUUGUCAUCUUAUAGCAGUAGUAAGCUGCCAGAAUGUGUUGGUGAGUUGAAGCACCUUCGGUAUUUGAACAUCACCGAAACUCUGAUUUCUGAAUUACCAAGAUCACUGUGUACUCUUUACCACCUGCUUGUAUUAGAAACUGGCAAAGUUAAGAGUUUGCUUGAGACACUCUGCAAUUUAAGAAAGUUGCGGCAUCUUAUCGUAUCCUCUAAAGUUGAACUGCAUCAAAUUCCUGAUGUUGGCAAGCUGAAUUCGCUUCAACAGUUGGAAGAAUUUUUUGUGCUAAAUAAAAAGGGUUAUGAGUUGCAACAACUAAGGGACAUGAGUGAGAUUCGUGGAAGUUUAAGUGUCAUAAAUCUUGAGAAUGUCACUGGGAAGCAUACAGCCUUACAAUCAAAGAUGGAUCAGAAAAGUCAUCUUACCAACUUGCAUCUUGUCUGGAGUUGCGAGAUUAAUAUGAAAGCAGAUUUGAAUGUGGAUAAUUUACAGUUGAAGAUUCUAGAUGGCUUGAUGCCACCGCCUCAACUUGAAAAUCUUUCAAUUAAGGGUUAA